rnacentral:misc_RNA from 1 species
AACGCACAUUGCGCUCUCUGGUAUUCCGGAGAGCAUGCUUGUUUGAGUAUCAGUAAAACACCUUCAGUUCUCUCUUUUGAGAAUUGGACUUGAGUUAUCCCAACGGUUAUGAAUAGCCGGCGGGUCACUUGAAAUUCAGGUGCGGCUGGACACAUCUUCUGAGCUAUAAGCAUUACUUAUUUAAUCCCGUCAGACGGAUUAUCUCUACUGCUACAGCUAAUGUAAAGGUUGAUUGUCUGUUUGCCCGACUGAUGCAGAAAAAACAAGGAGAAAUCCUUGUUCACUCGAUCUCAAAUCAAGUAAGACUACCCGCUGAACUUAA